rnacentral:rRNA from 1 species
UACGGAAGGCAGCAGUGGGGAAUAUUGCACAAUGGGCGCAAGCCUGAUGCAGCCAUGCCGCGUGUAUGAAAAAGGCCUUCGGGUUGUAAAGUACUUUCAGUCGUGAGGAAGGUGUUAAGGUUAAUAACCUUAGCAAUUGACGUUAGCGACAGAAGAAGCACCGGCUAACUCCGUGCCAGCAGCCGCGGUAAUACGGAGGGUGCGAGCGUUAAUCGGAAUUACUGGGCGUAAAGGGCACGCAGGCGGUUAAUUAAGUUGGAUGUGAAAUCCCCGGGCUUAACCUGGGAAUGGCAUUCAAGACUGGUUAGCUAGAGUCUUGUAGAGGGGGUAGAAUUCCAUGUGUAGCGGUGAAAUGCGUAGAGAUGUGGAGGAAUACCGGUGGCGAAGGCGGCCCCUGGACAAAGACUGACGCUCAUGUGCGAAAGCGUGGGGAGCAAACGAGGGAUUAGAUACCCG